UACGUAGGUGGCAAGCGUUGUCCGGAUUUACUGGGUGUAAAGGGCGUGUAGGCGGAGCUGCAAGUCAGAUGUGAAAUCCCGGGGCUCAACCCCGGAACUGCAUUUGAAACUGUAGCCCUUGAGUAUCGGAGAGGCAGGCGGAAUUCCUAGUGUAGCGGUGAAAUGCGUAGAUAUUAGGAGGAACACCGGUGGCGAAGGCGGCCUGCUGGACUGCAACUGACGUUGAGGCCCGAAAGCGUGGGGAGCAAACAGG
rnacentral:rRNA from 1 species